rnacentral:pre_miRNA from 1 species
CAUGUAUCUCUCGUCCGAAAAUACUUGUCAGAAAAAUAUAUGUAUCUAGACAUAUUUUAGUGUUAGACACAUCUAUUUUUAUUCAUUUCUCCGACAAGUAUUUUCGAACGGAGAAAGUAUAAC